CUCAUCAGUUGAGCAAUCUUUCUCAGCUCUCAAGCACAUAAAAACUUAUUAAUGGAAUACAACCGGACAAACAUGGUUCUCUGCACUGGCUUCUAUUGCCAUAGAGAAGGAGCUGCUCAUUCAUCUUAAGCAGGACGCACAACUGCAUGAGGAGGUCAUUGAAUGUUUCGUCAGAAAGGAACGGAGGAUGGAUUUCAUUUACAAGUAAUGAGCCGUCUCCAAAGGGCUUACAGAGAAUAUGGCAGUACAACCAACUGGCCUCACAACCGCAGACUACAUGUAACCACACCAGCCCAGAAUCUCCAAAUCCAGCAUCUUCACCUCCAAGAUCUGAGACCAGCCACCCGGACAGCUCCUGCAACGAUCGGUUUGCACAACCAAAGAAUUUCUGUCAGAAACCGCCUCAGGGAAGCUCAUCUGUAAGCUCGUCAUCCUCAUCGGGGUCUCGACCUGACUGCAGUUCAUCGUCGUAACCAACUUGAGUGGGCACUGCUCACAUUGGAUGGUGUCUGGGACUUUGGGGAGGUGUUCUCUUCACGGAUGAAUCCUGGUUUUCACUGUACAGGCCAGAUGGCAGACAGCGUGUAUGGCGUCGUGUGGGUGAGCGGUUUCUGAUGUCAAUGAGUGGCCCAUGGUGGCGGUGGGGUUAUGGUAUGGGCAGGCAUAUGUUAUGGACAAUGAACAGAGGUGCAUUUUAUUGAUGCCAUUUUGAAUGCACAGAGAUCCUGAGGCCCAUUGUUGUGCCAUUCAUCCACCUCCAUCACCUCAUGUUGCAGCAUGAUAAUGCACGGCCCCAUAUUGCAAGGAUUUGUACACAAUUCCCGGAAGCUGAAAACAUCCCAGUUCUUGCAUGGCCCGCACACUCACCGGACAUGUCACCUAUUGAGCGUGUUUGGGAUGCUCUGGAUCGGCGUAUACAACAGCGUGUAAAACUGCACCUGUGCAAUAAUCAUGCUGUUUAAUCAGCAUCUUGAUAUGCCACACCGGUGAGGUGAAUGGAUUAUCUCGGCAAAGGAGAAGUGCUCACUAACACAGAUUUAGACAGAUUUGUGAGCAAUAUUUGAGAGAAAUAGGCCUUUUGUGUACAUAGAAAAAGUAUUAGAUCUUUGAGUUCAGUUCAUGAAAAAUGGGGGCAAAAACAAAAUUGUUGCAUUUAUAAAUUUGUUCAGUGUAUUUUCUGCCUUAUUCUGUGAUAAAAAUGGGGAAAAAAGUGUUUGUAGUAUAUAAACUAUUAUACUGAUUAUACAAUCAUAACCAUAAAAUUAGUCAUUAGUAAAAUAUCAAAAAUAUUAUAGAAGACAAGUGAUUGGUUAAUGUCCAGCAGUGUAUUUUACUUCUUAGCCAAUUAAAAGUAAGAGAUAAGAUUUUUUUUUUUUUUUGUCAAUUAGGCAUACAUAAAUAA
ensembl:lncRNA